rnacentral:tRNA from 1 species
GCCUUGAAAGCUAGCAGCAGCCUAUCUUGUAAAUAGGAAGAGGUCAGUGAAAAUCUGGCUCAAGGCU